GACGAACGCUGGCGGCGUGCCUAAUACAUGCAAGUAGAACGCUGAAGGAGGAGCUUGCUUCUCCGGAUGAGUUGCGAACGGGUGAGUAACGCGUAGGUAACCUGCCUGGUAGCGGGGGAUAACUAUUGGAAACGAUAGCUAAUACCGCAUAACAGUAGAUGUUGCAUGACAUUUGCUUAAAAGGUGCAAUUGCAUCACUACCAGAUGGACCUGCGUUGUAUUAGCUAGUUGGUGAGGUAACGGCUCACCAAGGCGACGAUACAUAGCCGACCUGAGAGGGUGAUCGGCCACACUGGGACUGAGACACGGCCCAGACUCCUACGGGAGGCAGCAGUAGGGAAUCUUCGGCAAUAGACGGAAGUCUGACAGAGCAACGCAGCGUGAGUGAAGAAGGUUUUCGGAUCGUAAAGCUCUGUUGUAAGAGAAGAACGAGUGUGAGAGUGGAAAGUUCACACUGUGACGGUAUCUUACCAGAAAGGGACGGCUAACUACGUG
rnacentral:rRNA from 1 species